CAGUGAGCCUUAAAAAAGCACUUACUAUUUAGACUUAAUUUCACAGGAACAUGCAGCAAUGUUUAAUGUUUACAUCUGAAGGUGUAGUAAAACUAAAACAGAUUUGCAGCAAUCCUUUUGUAUUUCACUGCAGUUAUUAUUAUAAACAUUUAGAACACACUAAAUUGCACAGUACAAGUUACACAAGUUCUUUGCAUGAAAGGUCACCCGGCAGUUACCAGGCUGGUCACCAGGCACUCCUAAAAGGAUUCUAUGCAACACAAAUACGUCUUAAAAACAACCAAGAGGUGUUUCUCAGAAUAUAACCACUCUUAGUCACUGUUAUACUGGAAAAAUACGUUUUGGAUUCCUCUGCAAGGACAUUUUUUUUCUUUCUCCUACACAUUCUCCAUUUCUUGCCCCACAGUUGGGAGGUCCUGUCGGCCUCUGAAAUCGUGCUCAUCACCAGGAUUAUUGUUAUAGCUAACACAGAGCGUGCUUCCAUGGCCCCUUACAUCUGCCAACAUACACUUGGUGCACAGUUCUAAGGGAUCAUUAGGUCACGUACUUGGAAGCGUGCCCGGUUCGCUGGGAGCACCUGCUCUCUGAUGUCUCUCGGAGCAGCGCAGGGUGCACUGACCUCGGACAGCGGGAGGGGAUUCGUUGGGUCCGUGCUAAGCAAAACACUCUCUGAUAUUGUUGUAUAACUGUGAGAGUUUGUUUGAUCUGUUAAACAGACUUCAUUUAUUUAUUUCUCCUUGCAUUACUCCAGUCCAGUACUUUGUCAGCAAGUUGGUCGGGAUUCCUUUUGGAGUUGAGGUGUUAGAUGCCUCAGGCAUACCCAAGUCAGAAACUUGUUAAACAUGCUUUUACAUACACACAAAAAAGGAAUGUGUUCUUGUGAUGGUGAUUUAUGACGGGUGUUUUUUCUUUGUUUUCUCUUCUCUCCUGCCAUACUAAUUUUAAAGGCUUAAUCAAGUCAGACCUGCGGAGACAGAAGGCAAACGCAUUGGCCAAGGAAGCUGAAAACCAGAACGGAGCUGUUCGUUCUUCUGCCAUUUUGAAUGAAGUCAGGCUGUAGAGAAGAUGUGGGGGUGUCCUUCUGUUGUACUGAGGGAAAACCACAUGUGCACAAAACCAGACUUGAAGCUUUGAAAGUCAUCUCACAGCACAAAGAAACUUCAGCGGCUUAUUUUUUGUUUGUUUGUUUAACGUUUUUAUCAUCAUUACAUUACUAGCAUCUUUAGAAAUGUGUCAAACGCUCACUUGAUUUUUGUAGAAUUUUUCGGGUAAUGGUUUGUAAAUCAUCAAUUAUUAGUGCCUAGCGUUCAAAACGAUCCUUUCACAUAUUUAGAUACAUGACUUAUUUUUUCUAAUCAGACAUGUCCACAAAACACUAGCCAUAGAAAUCUCUUAUCUAGUUCUUGUCACUAUCUUCUUCAUGUUUAAGGGGUGUGGGGUUUUUUAUAUAUAUGUUUGAAAAAGAUAAAGUAUGUGUUCUGCUUAGAGUUUGAAGAAGAAAAUGUAAUUGUAUCUUACAGUGGGGUCAAUCACUGUAUUCUUUCUGUAAAGCACAUGAAUUUGAUCAUAUUUAUACCACCUCUGUGAAGUGAUUUUAAACUUUGGCACAAAUGUAUGACAAUAAUGAUAACAAGUUGAAAGUUUUAUAUGAUAGCGCUUUUUGUAAUUUGACAUUUACUGAUUUGUAUCUGUUUGCACAGAUAAAGAUGUGUAAUAAAAAAGGAAAUUAA